GUGCUCUCAUCGUGCUCAGAAGUCUGCAGCGUCUGAGUGCCUUGCAACAGACCUCCCUCAAGACUGAAGGCCCUUGGCAAAUGCUGAUCCCUAUUUCCGUGGUGUCAACUGAGCGAACUAUCUGGAGAAUUGCACACAAAACAAAAGGAUUGCU